AAGAUGUGACCUUGUUUAUUGUGCAAUGAUGCAAAUGAUAUGUGGGAUCUUAGGGUUAAAAAUUAGGGUAUUACAUAUGCCCUUAUUUAAGUUUCUUCAAUUUGGAGAUAUGAAGGUUGAAAUCUUUGUCUCGACAAGAUUGAAGAGACUUAAAUAUCAAAGACCCAAUUUUUGGCCCUAAGAUACCGCAAAAUGCUUAUAAUAUGAUAUGAAU
rnacentral:lncRNA from 1 species